rnacentral:rRNA from 1 species
UACGGGGGGGGCAAGCGUUGUUCGGAAUUACUGGGCGUAAAGGGCUCGUAGGUGGCCAACUAAGUCAGACGUGAAAUCCCCAGGCUCAACUUGGGAACUGCGUCUGAUACUGGAUGGCUUGAAUUCGGGAGAGGGAUGCAGAAUUCCAGGUGUAGCGGUGAAAUGCGUAGAUAUCUGGAGGAAUACCGGUGGCGAAGGCGGCUCACUGGAUCUCUUCUGACGCUGAGGCACGAAAGCUAGGGUAGCGAACGGG